UUUUGAUGCAGUCUCCAUGGCGACUACAGUUUCCUGGGAAGCAACAUGGACGUCUGUUCACUGAAAUUCUGGAGUUUGCUGAUGAUGGAUAUAAGGUUAAUAUGACAAACUGAAACACACUUGUGACAUACUCCAAAACAAUGAAGACAAUGGGAUUUAGAAAGCUCCGGGGGUGAUCCACACAGUGCCUAGGAUGGAUGACCAAUAGAAACGGAGGCCGUUAACCUUUCUGCUAACAGAACUCACCUUCAAACAACACAGAAGAUGCCCGCAUAUCUCUACUGCCACUUCUCAUUUACGUCUGGCUGAUUCACAGUGAACCGCAACAGUGGCCUUUUUUGGGUAAAUUCUGCAGAUUCACAUUUAAUAUGAAGAAAGCAAUACGAAGAGAACUGAACUGUUGGACAUGAGCUGAUCAUCUAUGACACAACUGCCCUCUGCUAUCUGGCAGAUAUGAAUCAAGCUGUUUUCUGGUGUCCAUCAUGUAUUUACAGUUUAGCUGUUGUUGUGCCAGAUGUGAGAACUAUGUGGAAACUAAAUCUUUCUUGCUCUUUGACCAUAUAAAUAGUCAGACA